CGGUGAGUGUUACUCAUUCAGAGUUAUUCCUCGAUAUCGAAGCUGGACGUUAACGCUUGCCGAGUUUUUUUUUAGGGGCGCAAGAAUUACGGGGAUUAUGACAGAUAACGGCGAAUAAACGGUGGAUAUCAGAAUAAUGCCGCGAGUGGAGUAGCCGUCGUGGAAAUAAAUUGCGAAGAACGGGACCGAGGCACGAUAUCCGGGCAGAGGGAAAAGCCAGGAAGCGAGGAAGUUGUUCGUGCAGCCGGCUCUCUCGCUCGUCCGUGAAUCGAGGCAUGAAGUAUACAAGAAUGCUAGUGCAACGAAAUUAGAGAAAAGGGGGAAUACCGGGCUGAAAAGCCCCAGGUAAAAUAAACCACACAUGGCGGCGUUCGUUGCGCGAGCGUGGGCGCUACACGAACGAUAAAGCUGUAAUAAUUGCUGCGAUAAUAAGUCAAAUGAGCCGCGAAACGCGUUGUUGCGCCGCGUAGUGCAGAAUGUUUAACGUUUCAAACGGAAUAACACGGAUUCGCAGCUAAUUUUAACCGCAAUUUGUCGUUCAAUUUCGGUCUCCGACUGGCGCAAUUCGAGGAGCUCGAGAAACUAGCGAAUCGCUGUUUCGUUGACGCGAUGUCAACUAUCUUCGUGUGGCAUGAGAAAGUGACACGGAUAUCUGAAAAAGUUCAUGCAUGUUUUACAAAUGUCGUAUGCUUAAAGUGUAUCACAAUAGUGAUCAUUGAUAGGUGAUGCAAACCUUGAGGUCUAUGCAAUAAAAAAAGGCUCGAUAGUAGAAGGGUCGAAUGGCCUCUGUCACAGUGAAUUUCCUGCGCAACUCGUUGCAAGCGAAUAGACUGUUACGUCCACAAUCCAGAAAAGACAUAACAGUUUUCUGUGUUCGGAAACGCGUGGGACGUUCGUCGAGGAGGAAUUCCAUCCGCGAUAGAAACGAUUCUCCGAUUUCAGUCAGGGUGUUUCGAGUUGUGUCCCAGACACCAGCUUCUCCCCUUGCGCGCUGCAUUACGUAACUCAUAAUUCCGAAGUGGAAGCCGCCGACAGGCGAGAGGACGAAACCGGUAUACAUAUAGCAACGAUUACGACUGCAACCAUCCUUGGACUCGACCCCCUCGUGAAUUUUAAAGCGCUAAUCACCAGUGUCAGAUAUGGACGAAAUUCUCAUUUGGAUGACAAAUGUAAGCACACAGAGCUUCUUUCUAUUGGGCACGAUUGAGUAUACAUGGUAAGAGAGAGGGAGACUUAAGAGCUUCUAAUUUAAUUACACAAAUGGUAAGACACAGCUGCGAUUAAUCCUUUAUCCGAAAGCCAAGCGCUAGGUACACCUUAUGAGUAAGCUACAAUAUCAAUCUUACUGCGAUC